CCUACGGGUGGCAGCAGUGAGGAAUAUUGGGCAAUGGACGAGAGUCUGAACCAGCCAAGCAGCGUGAAGGAUGACUGCCCUAUGGGUUGUAAACUUCUUUUAUAUGGGAAUAAAAUGUUCCACGUGUGGGCUUUUGUAUGUACCAUAUGAAUAAGGAUCGGCUAACUCCGUGCCAGCAGCCGCGGUAAUACGGAGGAUCCGAGCGUUAUCCGGAUUUAUUGGGUUUAAAGGGAGCGUAGGUGGAUUGUUAAGUCAGUUGUGAAAGUUUGCGGCUCAACCGUAAAAUUGCAGUUGAAACUGGCAGUCUUGAGUACAGUAGAGGUGGGCGGAAUUCGUGGUGUAGCGGUGAAAUGCUUAGAUAUCACGAAGAACUCCGAUUGCGAAGGCAGCUCACUGGACUGCAACUGACACUGAGGCUCGAAAGUGUGGGUAUCAAACAGGAUUAGAUACCCUGGUAGUC
rnacentral:rRNA from 1 species